AUUGAACGCUGGCGGCAGGCCUAACACAUGCAAGUCGAGCGGAUGAAGGGAGCUUGCUCCUGGAUUCAGCGGCGGACGGGUGAGUAAUGCCUAGGAAUCUGCCUGGUAGUGGGGGAUAACGUCCGGAAACGGGCGCUAAUACCGCAUACGUCCUGAGGGAGAAAGUGGGGGAUCUUCGGACCUCACGCUAUCAGAUGAGCCUAGGUCGGAUUAGCUAGUUGGUGGGGUAAAGGCCUACCAAGGCGACGAUCCGUAACUGGUCUGAGAGGAUGAUCAGUCACACUGGAACUGAGACACGGUCCAGACUCCUACGGGAGGCAGCAGUAGGGAAUAUUGGUCUAGGGGCGAAAGCCUGAUCCAGCCAUGCCGCGUGUGUGAAGAAGGUCUUCGGAUUGUAAAGCACUUUAAGUUGGGAGGAAGGGCAGUAAGUUAAUACCUUGCUGUUUUGACGUUACCAACAGAAUAAGCACCGGCUAACUUCGUG
rnacentral:rRNA from 1 species